rnacentral:rRNA from 4 species
GUUGUUGGGUAGGGGAGCGUUCUGUAAGCCGUUGAAGGUGACCUGUGAGGGUUGCUGGAGGUAUCAGAAGUGCGAAUGCUGACAUAAGUAACGAUAAUGCGGGUGAAAAACCCGCACGCCGGAAGACCAAGGGUUCCUGUCCAACGUUAAUCGGGGCAGGGUGAGUCGACCCCUAAGGCGAGGCUGAAAAGCGUAGUCGAUGGGAAACAGGUUAAUAUUCCUGUACUUGGUGUUACUGCGAAGGGGGGACGGAGAAGGCUAGGCUGGCCGGGCGACGGUUGUCCCGGUUUAAGCGUGUAGGGGGAGUGACCAGGUAAAUCCGGUUGCUUAUCAACCCUGAGGCGUGAUGACGAUGCACCACGGUGCAGAAGCAGUUGAUGCCAUGCUUCCAGGAAAAGCCUCUAAGCAUCAGGUAACAUUAAAUCGUACCCCAAACCGACACAGGUGGUCAGGUAGAGAAUACUCAGGCGCUUGAGAGAACUCGGGUGAAGGAACUAGGCAAAAUGGUGCCGUAACUUCGGGAGAAGGCACGCUGGCGUUAGGUGAAAGGACUAGCUCCUGGAGCUGAAGCCAGUCGCAGAUACCAGCUGGCUGCAACUGUUUAAUAAAAACACAGCACUGUGCAAACACGAAAGUGGACGUAUACAGUGUGACGCCUGCCCGGUGCUGGAAGGUUAAUUGAUGGGGUCAGCCGCAAGGCGAAGCUCUUGAUCGAAGCCCCAGUAAACGGCGGCCGUAACUAUAACGGUCCUAAGGUAGCGAAAUUCCUUGUCGGGUAAGUUCCGACCUGCACGAAUGGCGUAAUGAUGGCCAGGCUGUCUCCACCCGAGACUCAGUGAAAUUGAACUCGCUGUGAAGAUGCAGUGUACCCGCGGCAAGACGGAAAGACCCCGUGAACCUUUACUAUAGCUUGACACUGAACAUUGAGCCUUGAUGUGUAGGAUAGGUGGGAGGCCUUGAAGUGUGGACGCCAGUCUGCAUGGAGCCAACCUUGAAAUACCACCCUUUAAUGUUUGAUGUUCUAACUCGGCCCCAUGAUCUGGGGUGAGGACAGUGUCUGGUGGGUAGUUUGACUGGGGCGGUCUCCUCCCAAAGAGUAACGGAGGAGCACGAAGGUUAGCUAAUCACGGUCGGACAUCGUGAGGUUAGUGCAAAGGCAUAAGCUAGCUUGACUGCGAGAGUGACGGCUCGAGCAGGUACGAAAGUAGGUCUUAGUGAUCCGGUGGUUCUGAAUGGAAGGGCCAUCGCUCAACGGAUAAAAGGUACUCCGGGGAUAACAGGCUGAUACCGCCCAAGAGUUCAUAUCGACGGCGGUGUUUGGCACCUCGAUGUCGGCUCAUCACAUCCUGGGGCUGAAGUAGGUCCCAAGGGUAUGGCUGUUCGCCAUUUAAAGUGGUACGCGAGCUGGGUUUAGAACGUCGUGAGACAGUUCGGUCCCUAUCUGCCGUGGGCGUUGGAAGAUUGAGAGGGGCUGCUCCUAGUACGAGAGGACCGGAGUGGACGAAUCACUGGUGUUCGGGUUGUCAUGCCAAUGGCAUUGCCCGGUAGCUAAAUUCGGAAGAGAUAACCGCUGAAAGCAUCUAAGCGGGAAACUUGCCUCGAGAUGAGUCUUCCCUGGGGCUUAAAGCCCCCUGAAGGAACGUUAAAGACUAUGACGUUGAUAGGCUGGGUGUGUAAGUGCAGCGAUGUAUUGAGCUAACCAGUACUAAUGAUCCGUGAGGCUUAACCUU